UACGGAAGGCAGCAGUGGGGAAGUAUUGCACAACGGGCGCAAGCCUGAUGCAGCCAUGCCGCGUGUAUGAAGAAGGCCUUCGGGUUGUAAAGUACUUUCAGUCGUGAGGAAGGUGUUAAGGUUAAUAACCUUAGCAAUUGACGUUAGCGACAGAAGAAGCACCGGCUAACUCCGUGCCAGCAGCCGCGGUAAUACGGAGGGUGCGAGCGUUAAUCGGAAUUACUGGGCGUAAAGGGCACGCAGGCGGUUAAUUAAGUUGGAUGUGAAAUCCCCGGGCUUAACCUGGGAAUGGCAUUCAAGACUGGUUAGCUAGAGUCUUGUAGAGGGGGUAGAAUUCCAUGUGUAGCGGUGAAAUGCGUAGAGAUGUGGAGGAAUACCGGUGGCGAAGGCGGCCCCCUGGGACAAAGACUGACGCUCAUGUGCGAAAGCGUGGGGA
rnacentral:rRNA from 1 species